AUGUUUUUGUCUGUGUUUGUGUGUGUUGGUGUGUGUGUGUUUGUGUGUAUGAACUCCUGCAACCUGUCCGGUAUCAAACAAACUGUGAGUGACAGUUGGUUAUACCCACAGUGUUUACUCUGAUCCCUGUCAUGUCUCUGUGUCUCUGAUCUCCAGGUUGGACAAUAACAGACUGACCGAUGGCUGCACUGAUGAUCUGGUCUCCGGUCUCAGUACAAACCGCUCACUGAGGUUCCUGGACCUGAGGUCUAACUCCUUCACAGACCGCUCUGUACCCGCUCUCCGCCGCCUCAUACAGACCUGCACCAGUCUCGGGGAGAUCUGGCUGUGGGGGAAUGGGUUCAGUUCAGACGGA